rnacentral:rRNA from 1 species
CUGACACAGGGAGGUAGUGACAAUAAAUAACAAUGCCGGGCUUUUCAAAGUCUGGCAAUUGGAAUGAGAACAAUUUAAAUCCCUUAUCGAGGAUCAAUUGGAGGGCAAGUCUGGUGCCAGCAGCCGCGGUAAUUCCAGCUCCAAUAGCGUAUACUAAAGUUGUUGCAGUUAAAAAGCUCGUAGUUGAAUUUCUGGUCGUGAAACGUGGUCCGUUCCGCAAGGAAUGUGUACUGUCGAUUUAUGUCCAUCCUCGGUGUUAGUAUGCAUUACUUUAAUCGGUCGUGUAUACAACCACCGUCAUUUACUGUGAGCAAAAUAGAGUGUUCAAAGCAGGCUUAUGCCGUUGAAUAUAUUAGCAUGGAAUAAUAAGAUAUGACUUUGGUCUAUUUUGUUGGUUUGCACUCCAAAGUAAUGAUUAAUAGGGAUAGUUGGGGGUAUUCGUAUUCAAUUGUCAGAGGUGAAAUUCUUGGAUUUAUGGAAGACGAACUACUGCGAAAGCA